CCUUACACACCUUUUCACAGACCCCGCCGUCGGGGCGCGGCCAGGUCAGAUCCCUUUUGAUCCGGGCCUGGGCUGAGUGCUCCCCCCGGGCUUCAGGUGACGCGGCCCCGCGGAGCGUGGGGUCGCCCGAGUUGGGCUGGGGAAGCCAGGGACGGAGGUGUCCGGCCGUCACCCCUAGAGGAGGGCGUGCGGGGGUCUGUUUUGC
rnacentral:lncRNA from 1 species